rnacentral:snRNA from 1 species
UUAUUUACCCAACAGGGAAGAUAACAUAAUCAUGAGGGUGAUUUUCCCAGGAUGAGGCUCAUCCAUUGCACAUCGGAUGUGCUGACCACUUUCUCCUGAAAAAGAGGGAAAGAAAAAAAAAGUCUGCUGUAUGCCUUC